GACGAACCGUCCAAACGUUAUUCGGAAUCACUGGGCUUAAAGGGUGCGUAGGCGGCGCUGAAAGUUGGGUGUGAAAUCCCUCGGCUCAACCGAGGAACGGCGCUCAAAACUACAGUGCUUGAGGGAGACAGAGGUGAGCGGAACUUGCGGUGGAGCGGUGAAAUGCGUUGAUAUCGCAAGGAACACCAGUGGCGUAAGCGGCUCACUGGGUCUCUUCUGACGCUGAGGCACGAAAGCUAGGGGAGCGAACGGGAUUAGAUACCCCGGUAGUCCUAGCCGUAAACGCUGAGCACUAGAUCGAAGGGUACUCCAUAGCCUUUCGGUCGUAGCGAAAGUGUUAAGUGCUCCGCCUGGGGAGUAUGGUCGCAAGGCUGAA
rnacentral:rRNA from 1 species